UAGCUAGUUGGUGGGGUAAGGGCCUACCAAGGCGACGAUCGGUAGCUGGUCUGAGAGGAUGACCAGCCACACUGGAACUGAGACACGGUCCAGACUCCUACGGGAGGCAGCAGUGGGGAAUAUUGGACAAUGGGGGGAACCCUGAUCCAGCAAUGCCGCGUGUGUGAAGAAGGCCUGAGGGUUGUAAAGCACUUUCAGUGGGGAGGAGAGAUUAUUGGUUAAGAGCUGAUGAUUUGGACGUUACCCACAGAAGAAGCACCGGCUAACUCCGUGCCAGCAGCCGCGGUAAUACGGAGGGUGCGAGCGUUAAUCGGAAUUACUGGGCGUAAAGGGUGCGUAGGUGGUUAUAUAAGUUAUGUGUGAAAUUCCUGGGCUCAACCUGGGCAGGUCAGAUAAUACUGUAUGACUGGAGUAUGGGAGAGGGUAGUGGAAUUUCCGGUGUAGCGGUGAAAUGCGUAGAGAUCGGAAGGAACACCAGUGGCGAAGGCGGCUACCUGGCCUAAUACUGACACUGAGGCACGAAAGCGUGGGGAGCAAACAGGAUUAGAUACCCUGGUAGUCCACGCUGUAAACGAUGUCAACUAGCUGUUGGUUAUAUGAAAAUAAUUAGUGGCGC
rnacentral:rRNA from 1 species